GUAGGGUGCGAGCGUUAAUCGGAAUUACUGGGCGUAAAGCGUGCGCAGGCGGUUAUAUAAGACAGAUGUGAAAUCCCCGGGCUCAACCUGGGCACUGCAUUUGUGACUGUAUAGCUAGAGUACGGUAGAGGGGGAUGGAAUUCCGCGUGUAGCAGUGAAAUGCGUAGAUAUGCGGAGGAACACCGAUGGCGAAGGCAAUCCCCUGGACCUGUACUGACGCUCAUGCACGAAAGCGUGGGGAGCAAACAGGAUUAGAUACCCUGGUAGUCCACGCCCUAAACGAUGUCAACUGGUUGUUGGGUCUUUGCUGACUCAGUAACGAAGCUAACGCGUGAAGUUGACCGCCUGGGGAGUACGGCCGCAAGGUUG
rnacentral:rRNA from 1 species